rnacentral:tmRNA from 1 species
GGGCCAGUAAUGGUUUCGACGGGGAUAAGGAGGACUAAACUGCAUGCGGAAGCUGAGGGACUUCCUAAAAACUCUCACCUAAAAUUAGUUGCAAAAGAAGACAACUACGCUCUUGCAGCUGCCUGACCUUAGGUCAGCAGUCUGACUCUCAUAAGAGAAUAAGCACUUCUUUAGACCACGGUCUUCGGCAACGGAGAAGUGUUAAAGUAAAGAGGACCAAAGGCGUGAAUUUGCGGAUUAGCGCGCCGGAUAAGGAAUUUUCGCCGGUCGGAGGAAAGGCUGUCAUUCACUGAAAAUCUCCGGUCGUCAAAACCCCAAUGAAUGACUAAGCAUGUAGACGUUUUUUAAGAAUUAUCUUCGGACACGGGUUCGACUCCCGUCUGGUCCAUCU